GUGAAGGACAAUCCUCUGUUAAUCAGGUCAACUGACAGGUUGGUUUGUGUGGGGCAGGACUCCCUCCGUAACCAUGGCACUGUAGUCCUGACCACUGCUUCCUCCCUCAGCUGGUUCGCAGGCCACAAGCCGGGGAUUGCUCAGAAUUCGUCGGCCACAAGCCGCGGGGUUCUGGGAAGAUCAGGAAAGGCACCAGGAGCUUCCGCAACGUCCAUAGAACCUGCGGACCCCGUGCUCCAUCCGGACGGUCCUCCUCUGCCUUCUGGACUGGCUGGGGUCGAAACCGGUCGGGAGCGGGGUCUCAUCGCGGAAACAUGCUCCCGGUGGCUGAAGAGGAAUACCUGGAAGAUAUGCUGUUGGAGAACCCCAGGUUCCUCAGUAAGUCCCAGAGUCAGCCCCUGGACUUCUGGGAGGAGGCAGCGGUCAUACCGUCGGAAUACCAGGGACCAUGGCAACCACAGACGUCUGAGGGGCCUGUUGUGGCGUGGGCGACACCGCCCAGAUCAGUUUCGGGACAGUCGACGCCGGGGUUCAGCUGCUACCACUGAUAGAAACCAUGUGGCCGUUUUGACCAUGUGGCCGUUUUGACCAUGUGGCCGUUUUGACCAUGUGGCCGUUUUGACCAUGUGGCCGUUUUGGCCAUGUGGCUCUUUCUUACGUUGUUCAGUAAAUCCCUCCACUGUGCAAACAACUCUAUAGUGAUCUGUUUCUCAGUCACAUACGGUCACCUUUCAGAGGGUCGUUCUCCGUUCACACGUUUCAAGGGCCGUGUGAAAAGCAGAGGCAAAGGGAAACACCCCUGUGUGGUUUCUCUGUGGACAUUUCAUUGGGACGACAGGGAUUGAUUGGUGAGUAUCACAUUUCAUUUCCCCAACCACCAGUAACCUUUCAUUUCAACAGGGUGUCAGUCGAGGCCUGACUGGAUAUUACAACAGACCCGGGGAAAACAAACUGCACAAAUGGGUAGAUCAUAACAAAGACUAAGGCAAAAAUGAAACACAGCACUAUAAAAACUGCCUAGAGAAACAGCAACAUUCCUCCUCAAGGAACUUGCCCAGUAUCAUCUGAAAUUGUCAGAGCAGCACCAGAACAUCGAGACGUAAUGUGUUUUGUUUCAGCAGCGUUCUGCUUCCACAGGAGAUACCUGAGAGGAGUUAACCAAUCGAAAGACACACAGUUGGCGACACAACCUUCCUCACUUUGACAACAAAGCUGCAGUAACUGGCCACUAUUUCCAGAUUCUGGACUCCAGCAGCAGAAUGAUGUGGGUGUACCCUUUCAAUGAAAAUAUCAGCAGGACUCAAUUUCUGAUUGGCCCGCACAUCCUCCUCCGGAGUAUGACAUCACGGCAGUAACGGGUUGACUGUCCAUUCUGCUUCUAACUACUCAAUCCAAAUUCCAAGAUGGUGGUAGUAGUAGCUGUAUCAGUAGGUGUUGAUAUGCAGGAACCUGUCUCACCAGUGGUAAGGUUUGGUGGAUCCUAGAUGAGUGGAUCUAUUUCCGCACUGAUGAAUUCAUGAUCUGUGGAGGGAAAACUGUUCCUAGAUCUGUUACACAAUGAAGGCUGAUCCCAGAUCCGUUACAUAGGGAAGGCUGGUCUUAAAGCUGUUUCACCAGGAAAGGCUGAUCCCAGAUCUGUUACAUAGGGAAGGCUGGUCUUAAAGCUGUUACACCAGGAAAGGCUGAUCCCAGGUCCAUUACAUAGGGAAGGCUGGUCUUAAAGCUGUUACACCAGGAAAGGCUGAUCCCAGAUCUGUUACAUAGGGAAGGCUGGUCUUAAAGCUGUUACACGAGGAAAGGCUGAUCCCAGGUCCAUUACAUAGGGAAGGCUGGUCUUAAAGCUGUUACACGAGGAAAGGCUGAUCCCAGGUCCAUUACAUAGGGAAGGCUGGUCUUAAAGCUGUUACACCAGGAAAGGCUGAUCCCAGGUCCAUUACAUAGGGAAGGCUGGUCUUAAAGCUGUUACACCAGGAAAGGCUGAUCCCAGAUCUGUUACAUAGGGAAGACUGGUCUUAAAGCUGUUACACGAGGAAAGGCUGAUCCCAGGUCCAUUACAUAGGGAAGGCUGGUCUUAAAGCUGUUACACCAGGAAAGGCUGAUCCCAGGUCCAUUACAUAGGGAAGGCUGAUCUUAAAGCUGUUACACCAGGAAAGGCUGAUCCCAGAUCUGUUACAUAGGGAAGGCUGGUCUUAAAGCUGUUACACGAGGAAAGGCUGAUCCCAGGUCCAUUACAUAGGGAAGGCUGGUCUUAAAGCUGUUACACGAGGAAAGGCUGAUCCCAGGUCCAUUACAUAGGGAAGGCUGGUCUUAAAGCUGUUACACCAGGAAAGGCUGAUCCCAGGUCCAUUACAUAGGGAAGGCUGGUCUUAAAGCUGUUACACGAGGAAAGGCUGAUCCCAGAUCUGUUACAUAGGGAAGGCUGGUCUUAAAGCUGUUACACGAGGAAAGGCUGAUCCCAGGUCCAUUACAUAGGGAAGGCUGGUCUUAAAGCUGUUACACCAGGAAAGGCUGAUCCCAGAUCUGUUACAUAGGGAAGGCUGGUCUUAAAGCUGUUACACGAGGAAAGGCUGAUCCCAGAUCUGUUACAUAGGGAAGGCUGGUACCCCCAUCCGCCUACAGGGGGUGACAUUGUUCAGUGGCACUGAUCAAUGGACAGGGUAGAUGUUGGGCAGGUGUGUGUGUGUGUGUGUGUUGACCUUCUGUUCCAUUAGAGAGCUAUAAAAGUCCACAGAGAAACCAUCUGAUUUGUGGACUAACACAUAGGAGCCAGGCAGUCUGACCCUAACACCCCAAACUCCUUUUUCGUCCUCUCAUCUCGCUAUCCCCUAACUUUCACUCACUCUCUCUAUUCCUCUCUUUCCUUGCCUGAUAUCCGUCCCUCCUCCUCCCUCCUCCUCCCUCCCUCCCCCCUCUCCGUUCUUCCCUCCCUCUCUCUCCCUCCCUUUCUCUUGUUUCAUUCUCUUCCUCCCUCUCAGAAGUUAUAAUAAACUUUUUUUUUUAAUGUUUUUGUCAUGUUUUUGUGUCAAAACAGGAAAUGCUAUUUAAGUGAAUUGUUUUUAGUUGUUGCAAGAAAUUACGUGAUUCACUUAACCCCCUUUUAGCCAAAGGGGAGCUGUCUUGUUGUUGUUGCUGGAGUGAGUUUGUUACAAAUGCCUUUUAAUAUAAAAGAGGUUUGAGAAGAGACAGAGAGACACACGGGAUGAGAAAUAGAAAAGAGAGAAAAAGAACGAUAGAGAGAAAGAGAGAUACAAAGUCAGUGCUUUGAUCACAUGAAAAAAGGUUAUCCAGAAGUAUAGCCUGAGGCUGUUGAAUAUACAUUCAAUACUCUGCUAACUGACCUUUUCCAGAAUUCCUCCCCACUCAUCUCUUCCUUGAUGUCUUCCUCUCCUUGUCUGCUACUCUCUCUCCUUCCCUCUCUGAGCGCACUGCCCCUUUGAUUAAAUAACAAAAGACCUUAACUUUCCCAGCCUGAUACAGAUUGGCCCCUCAGGGUCUCAGUUGACUAUGAGAGAAGAGGGUGAUGGGAGUGUGUGAAGACCCUGCCGUUUUGAGAAAACACCAGAGAAGAACGACAAUUCUCAAAUGUGUCACUUUUCCCUUCAUCGUUGCCUACAAUUAUCGUUACCUUCAACAUCUCUACAGUAACCUACAGCAUCUUUACAGUAACCCACAGCAUCUCUACAGUAACCUGAAGCAGCUCCACAGUAACCUACAGCAUAUCCAUGGUAACCUACAGCAUCUUUAAGGUAAUCCACAGCAUCUCUACAGUAACCUGAAGCAGCUCCACGGUAACCUACAGCAUAUCUAUGGUAACCUACAGCAUCUUUACGGUAACCCACAGCAUCUCUACAGUAACCUGAAGCAGCUCCACGGUAACCUACAGCAUAUCUAUGGUAACCUACAGCAUCUUUACGGUAACCCACAGCAUCUCUACAGUAACCUGAAGCAGCUCCACGAUAACUUACAGGAUCUCGACAAUUACCUACAGCAUAUCUAUGGUAACCUACAGCAUCUCCAUGCUAACCUACAUCGUUUCUAUGGUAAUCUGGAGCACCUCUGUGGGAGUUUGCAGAGGAGCAGACAGAGGUUCUGUGUAUUAUAGGGUUAUACCUCUGUACCUAGAUUAAAAUAAAUCUGUGUGCCUAUAUAAUGACAGGCCAAUAAAGACCAAAUCUGAACCUUAUUUCUCCCCAGUUUCUUCAUAUCCAACUGAAUCUUCAGCCUUGUCUCACCACAUCAGCCUUAACAGCAAGCUUUCCUGUGUCCGUUUCCCACAAUACAGUUGGGUAACCCGGCCAAUGGUCAGAAAGUACCAUGGGUGUGGCUCGCAUCUAGACUGUGGUGGUCAACUUGGUGUAACGAAGAACUGCCUUAGAUGGCUGCACAAUCUAGGAGACUGCCAGAAAGGGAUUGGAAUGGGCUAGUCCCUUUCUAGUGUCUUCUUGUAUUGCAGACAUCAUUUAUAAUGGAAAUGUGCCAUUCUAAAUCAUGUCCAAUUAAUGCAAUUUGCCAGGUGGACUCCAAUCCGGUUCUGGAGAUGUCUGGGUGAAUCUGGAGAUGUCUGGGUGAAUCUGGAGAUGUCUGGGUGAAUCUGGAGAUGUCUGGGUGAAUCUGGAGAUGUCUGGGUGAAUCUGGAGAUGUCUGGGUGAAUCUGAGCUCAAUGUGGUGACUCAUGGCAAAGGGUCUGACAUUUCUGCACUUAUUUCAACUGUUCGUUUUCAAUAAAAAUGUGUUUCUCGUUUAAUCAUUAUGGGCUAUUGUGUGUAGAUUAAUUGCAAAAUAAUAAAUGAUUAAUUAAAUCUAUAACAACUAAAUGUGUAGAAAAUGCUGAGUCUGAAUACUUUCCCUAGAUACUGAAUAAACCAUACAUAAAUCCUCUUUCACCCUCCCGCUUUCUCCCCCUCUCUCUCCUUUUUCUCCCCCCCUCUCUCCUUUUUCUCCCCCUCUCUCUCCCUC
rnacentral:lncRNA from 1 species